rnacentral:rRNA from 1 species
CCUACGGGAGGCAGCAGUGAGGAAUAUUGGUCAAUGGCCGUAAGGCUGAACCAGCCAAGUCGCGUGAAGGAAGAAGGAUCUAUGGUUUGUAAACUUCUUUUAUAGGGGAAUAAAGGUAUCCACGUGUGGAUAUUUGCAUGUACCCUAUGAAUAAGCAUCGGCUAACUCCGUGCCAGCAGCCGCGGUAAUACUGAGGAUGCGAGCGUUAUCCGGAUUUAUUGGGUUUAAAGGGUGCGUAGGCGGAAUAUCAAGUCAGCGGUAAAAAUUCGGGGCUCAACCCCGUCGUGCCGUUGAAACUGAUGUUCUUGAGUGGGCGAGAAGUAUGCGGAAUGCGUGGUGUAGCGGUGAAAUGCAUAGAUAUCACGCAGAACUCCGAUUGCGAAGGCAGCAUACCGGCGCCCAACUGACGCUGAAGCACGAAAGCGUGGGUAUCGAACAGGAUUAGAUACCCUGGUAGUC